GCUUCCCAAGCGGUCAAUCCUGCCACCCUUGUACACCACUCUGCACCUGAGGUCUGAAGCUUGAGCCCCCCGGCCCCUUGUCCCCGUCUCUGCAUCUCUGAAGGCCCGUGCUUCUGGAUCUCCGAAUGUCCCUGGCUGUGAAGAGAUGUGGACUUUUGACCAUGUGACUGAAUUCAUCUGUGUGAGUCUCGAUUGACCAGGAGACUGCCUGAUUGGGACUUCAUGUUUGUCUGCUCCAGUCGACUUUUCCUGUAGAAAACAAAACGAAGAACAGGUGUUUCCUUAGAAGAAAUUUGCAGAAUGGCCACCUUGGCAAGCCGAUACACAUACCAGCAAAUUGCAAAACUGGCUCACUGAACCUGCUUCCAGGGUGAGGGAGAGAAACGCCCACAUCUGCUGUAAAAAGUAAACGUACAGCCGAAGGAGAACCAUUCAUUAAGUGCAGUGGAGAAACAUGUUCGAAAAUCUUGACGAGAGAGGCGUUUGGAUGUGUGAAGCCAUGUCCAGUAAGUGUUGGUCUGCUAAAAAGCUAUUUUAUAAAAGCAGGAAAAAGGCUAAAAAGAAACCUAAUUGGACAAAAUUUUCACUGAAGUGGAAAAAACACUACCAUAGUCAG